AAGGCGAAUGCUGUCAGUGCUCCCUAGCAAACCCGCAAAAAUAUUGCCUGUUAACUUUUAUCUGCUUCCUCACCAAUAUGAGCGAACACCUAUGGAGAGUGAGCAACUGGUACAUAUGCAAGCUGGGUUGGGGCGAAAGACAAUGCAAAUGGAUGAAAAUGCAACUUAUGAUGAAGUAUGUGCCCAACUGAAGGAUCUGUUCCCAAAAUUUCAGGAAGUAAAGGGGGGUUGGCUUGUCUAUAAAUCUUCAGGAGGAUGGGGCUCCCGGAAGCUCAACCUUAUUCCACCUGAUGAGAGUGGG